GUCUGCAUCCUUGUCUUUCUGGGCCUGGCUUGGCUUUACAGGCGAGGCGAACGCCCGGUUGUCAUAUUAGAGGGAAGGAGGAUGAGAGCUCAGUUCCUUAGUCCUGGGGCCUCCCGUCCCAGCCCACCAGGCCCUAUAUAGUCUUGGGUUGCCGGUCCUGGUGGCUGGGGGGACCAAGUCCCUAAACAGAAUGACAUUGAGCCCUCCUUGGUCAUUUGGUCUGGGUGCGUUGGGCAGGGCAGGGCAGGUUGGGUCAGCCAGGUUUUCUGUCCCAGCUCAGAGGCACAUAACCCAGAGGGGGGUGAUUGGUUGUACCCCGGGGUUGCUUUGGGCUUCCACUGAACCAUUCCCCCUUCCCCCAACAAUCUCCUCUGAGCUGAAAGAAAAAUUAACCUUAGCAAGCCAGUACGGUUAAGUGUUUUUAUUUUCCAUGGAAAUGCUGAUAGACAGCUUGGACCCGAGGUUCUUGGCUUAAAAUCUUAAACACCUCGGAUUGUGUGGAAGUUGGGGUCCCUUGGGUGGUGAAAUAUUUCAAAGGGCAAGGGGGUGGCCCAGGGCUGAUUAUUCUCCCAUGUUUUCCAGAAAUAUGGAUUUUGCAUGGUCAAUGAGUGUUUUCCCCCCCAAAUGGCCAGAAUUGAGGCAGCUUCAUGAGACUAGAGAAUGAACCAAAGCUCUGUUUCUGAAAUCCAGUCAUAAAUAAUGGCUCUAAGGCUCCAGGAGACAGAUGCUGCUGUGGGGUCACUGUGGGGCAUAGAGGAGAGGGACAGGAAAAUCUGUAUUUUGAAACAAGUGUCUUUGGCCAAGGACAGUAAAAACACUGUCUCCUGGAGCCCAGGCCUUACUCUGGUGGUAGCGGUCAUAUCUCCUUGGAAAAGACUGACAAUAGGAAUGAGAAAACAGGCUGCCCUCCCUAUUGACUUUGAACCUGUUUAUCAAUAGUGAAGGGAGGAGAGAAGAGGAUAGAAUCAAAUUUCUAGUCUUGCUGUGCCACAAAGGGACAUAGAAUUCCAUGUAGCUGUCCACAGUAUUCAUGUGUGUCAUGUACACACCAUCCCUGUUUGUGCUGACCCCAGCAUCCAGUUCUUUUUUGGAUUGCCUUGCUAAAUUCAGCUAGAAGGUGGAUGUUAUGUUUGAGAGACAUUUUUUACUUCACUUGCUGUUGUUAUACUAGAGGUUAAGACACGUGAAGACUUUUUAUUCAUAAUUCUUAGUCUGUUGGGAUUUCAGUGAACACUUUGGUUAGAGGGCUUCAUUUCCCAAACAUCUUUGGAGCAUUAUGGUUCUAGAGGAAUGUGGGUGCUGCCUGCAGCUUAUGCAUGAUCUUUACUCUUUAUGUAGUCCACCCAAGGCUGGUUUUUCACCUGUGCACAAAUGGGAACCUUGGUAUUCUCUAUUACAAGGAAAUGCUGGAAUUUCAGGUUCCAGUUGCCUCUGCAGUGACUGCUUCAGAUGCUCUUGAGGUUUCUUAAUGAGGUUCUUGCAUGGGCAAGGGCAUGUCUAAAUACUCACAUGGCCAAGGGUAGUCAUGGUCUCCUUUUUUUUUUCCAGUGGAGCACAGGAAGGAAAAAAUAAUUCUAAAUUGGAAGGUAUUGAUACUAGAUCUGAGUCUUAUUCAGUCACACAAGGGUAAACAUUAGGGUAAAUUCUGCUACUGAUAUGGCCAUUGUACAGCUAGAAUCCUGAGAAAGUCAACUUGGAAGCCAAGAAUUUUGAUUUUGAACUAUUGCAAAAGUGUAGCUGAGAGAAAGGAGAGAGGAAAAAGGAGAUGUUAGGUAUCCAUUAAAAAAGCAGGAAAACAAAAAGACCUAAACACCCAAAUACAUGUUUUGUGUUUAAGGCUUGAGAAUCUAGAAUGUUAGAGAAGUGGUCACUAGAUAUUUCUCUUGAGUAGAAUUGUGAUUUCCAGGAUUGGGAAGGAAGGGUUCUCUACUGAAAAACCCUGUCUUGGCAAUUCUCUUUUCUGAAGGGUUGGGAAAUCUUGAAGAUGGAAAUAUGAGGAAGUAUCCUAAAUGAGCUGGCUUAAUCCUCUUUUCUCUACUGGACUAAGCCAAACCCCAUUUCUAUGGGGCCCUCUUUGCCAAGUAUUGUCAUUGUUCAUUCCUGUUAGCCAAGCCAUUAAAGAGAUGUGGAUGCCCUGGAGGAUGGUGGUUCUGUGGGAAGGGGACUCCUUCCUUAAAAAAUGGUGUGAUAAUCCAAGAUGAGGACUUGAGGGUUGGGGUGGGGAUUGGAUCACGAUAGACUUUGAAAUAUCUAUUGAUGUCUUUAGCCACUUGGUGUCCAGCAUUGACAUAGAAAAUGUUUAGCUAUCAUGGUUUUAACUUUGGUUAUAGAGUUAUAUAGCCUAUCUGUAUUCUACAGUGUCACCUAAAUACUACACUGUUAUGGAAUACUAGUUCAAAUAAAACAAAGGUGAAUUGGAGUACAAUUUAAAUUUAAUAUGAGCUACAUCGAGUUGCCUACUUUGGAACAGACAUGUAGGAUAUGAAUUUACCCGCCUAUAAAAAGAUGAAUGCUUUUAAGAUUUUUCCUCUGGGUGUCACCUGCUGUAUCCUUAAGUUGCUAAAACAUCAGAGGAUGAUUAGUGCAGGGAAAUACCCUGGGACAACAUUUAUUUUUCUUUAACAUCUAUAUUCAAUUGAAUUCAUUUUAGCUAAGCUCAUUUCAGUUUAAUUCAGUUCUACAAACGUUUGUUAUCUUGUACUUUAGGGCCUACAUAGUACAAAAUCAACUGGAAAUCUGUCAAUCAUCAAGUUGAUUUACAUAGAAUUCAGUUUUGAUAACCAGUUGUAUUUAUUCAGGGCACCCAACUUCUACUUUCUCUGCCUGCUGGGCUUCUUCUCCCCAAGAAAGACUAUUUUGUCUGAAUUUUUUGGUUUGUCUGUCACUGGAACUUCAGUUAACAGAAUAAUUAUUAAAUCUAUAGAUAUUGGCCAGAUCUGCGUAAUUGCAGCUAAAUCAGACCAAGAAUGAAACCUUUGGUGGCUCUACUUUCCAGGGAGGUGUCUCAACUGUGUGCAGGAAGCCAACUUGGUGUUUCUGGAUUUUUGCCACAUGGCAUGGCAGUGUUGGGGAGCAGCAAAUGAUUGGACUGGCCACAUGUUCCACGCUUAUCUGAUGUGGCCAGCUGGGCUUAUGUGGACACAGCAACUGCUUAAGAGUCAUUUUGGUAAAAAGAAACUAAACUGGAUGAAUUUAUUACUCUUUGUACUUUGUACAGAGCAACCUUUGAGUUCCGUGUUGUUAGGCUGUGCAGUUGGGGUUUGGGCCCUGCACUUCUAGCCUUUCUUUAUCAAGGUUGGGCUGUUGGUUGCAUAGGUCACAGUUCAUGGAUUGACUUAUUUGGUAUGGGAUGCCUGGUUUGCUACAGUGUAGACUAAGGCUGUGUAGGUAAUGACAACCAAACAUUUUACCAAGAGGAAAUACUGAUUUGUAAGUGUGACUGAGACAUACUUGUGAAGAAAGGCAGGGGAACAGGUGAAAUUGUAUAGGCUGAACUGGGUGGAUUUAUACAUAUUUUAUCUCUUUUUGAUAUCAUUAGCUCAGAUUUGAAUUUUUAAAAGUUUCAUUGAUGCUUUUUGACUUCCUAUCAUUUCAACUGCCCUUUCCCUCUUAUGACAAAGAAUAACAAUUUAACCAAAGCACCUGAUACAGUGAUCACAUCUGACAACAAAUGCAAUAUUCUGACCUUUUAGACUUCUACCUCUUUGCUUUAAAGAGGAAAAUAUAUUUCAUUAUUUGUUUUUCAAGGAUAUUUUUUAAAGUUAUUUAGAAUUUGUCAUCUUUUCAGUGAACUUUUCAUUUAUUUUGUUUAGUCAUUCUUCCCAUUCUCUUUGUUCUACUUAUUUUGCUCUGCAUCAGUUCAUACACUUCUUUCUUUAUUUAUCUGAAUUCCUUAUAUUCAGUUUUUGAGUUUUAAGGUUGUAUUACCAAUGGAUUGGGUUACCUCUGACAAAGAUGAAAGUUAUAUCAAUGCUGAUCAAGAAAAUACGAUAUUAAUUUUUUCUUCCCUUAUAAGUGGAGUUUGACCCACUCAUGAUCUUUGUCUACCAUCUUGGAUAGGACUUUGUACCCUUUUUGUCCAGAGAUAGUUCCCACCACAAUUCAGAAGUGCAUAUAGAUGACCUUUUUUCACUUAGGCCACAAUUUCUUUUGUCAAAGGCACUGAAUAGACUCCCAAGGAAAUUGUCCUUCAUUUAUUUAUUCAUUUAUUUGUUUGUUUGUUUAUUUAUUUAACCCUUACCUUCCUCCUUGGAAUCGAUACUGGGUAUUGGUUCCAAGGCAGAAGAGUGGUAAGGACUAGGCAAUGGGGGUUAUGUGACUUGUCCAGGGUCACACAGCUAAGGAGUGUCUGAGGUCAUAUUUGAACCUAGGAUCUCCUGUCUCUGGGCCUGGCUCUCAAUCCACUGAGCCACCCAGCUGCCUCCCUUUAUUUUUAUACCAAAUAGGAACAGAGAGAAAAAAGGUGAAGCCCUCAUUCUCAAUCACAAUAAUGACUAUUUGUUUACAUGCUUACCUAUCCAUUUGCUCAGGCAGGAUGAAUACUUUAGUGAAAUAGAAAGUAGGAAAACAAGUCACCUUAAUACUAAUCCUUCUGUCUAAGCUAGGGUUUUUUUUUUUUUUUUAAUAUACAGAGAACAAGAUUCUUAAGUGUUGUGUGUAAAGGCAGAGAAUAAUUGUUUUUUUUUUUUCAAACUUAGAAGGAAAAUUAUGGCUUGUGUGUUUGCAAUCCUCUUUUUUUCCCCUCUUGGUUUAUUUGAUUUCUGUGCUUUUCUUAGUGUUGUCUCUACUAUUACUCACAGCCAGUGGGGUAGAUUCCCUCUCCAAGUUCCAACCUUUUCCCUGUCCUGAACUGAGUAAGCUUGUUGUGUUUUGUGGAAGUCAUCAAAUAAAAGUGGUUUAUCUUUUGCUCUAAUGCCAAUUGUCAUAUCAUUUAUUACACAUUUUGGCACCUAUAAAAUUCUCUUGAGGGAAGUCUAAUAUCCUCUCUGAAGAAAAAAUGAUAUCCAUUUUUUUUAAAAUUAAUACUCAUUAGAUUGUAUUUGACUAGGGACCAUGUUUAUUUGCUACUAUUUUCCUGGUAAGGACUGACAUACCCAUUAAGGCACUGGACAAAGACCUGAUAGUCCAGGUGAAAGAUAUUACAUGCUUUGUUCUGUAGCCUUACUAAAUGAGCAGGUGACAAGAGGGAAAUCCUGGAGAGCAUCUAAAGGAGGACAGCCAAAUGAGGAUCAGUUGAGGGAAUUGGGGAUGUUUAGCUUGGAGAAAGUGCAAGGAGAUCAGCAUAUCUGUCUUCAAGUACUUGUAGAACUAUAUGGAAGAGGGCUAGAACUUAUUUUAUUUCAGGAGCAAUGGGUAGAAGUUGCAAGGAACCACAUUUAGGGUUGAUGUAAGAAAAAUCUUCCCAAUAAAUAGAGAUGCCCAAAAGUGGAAUAGUACUUCCCUGUCCCCUUUGGAGGUCUUUAAGCAAAAAACUGACGACUACUUCUUUAGAUAUGCUAUAGAGAGGAUUUUUCAGGUAUGGGCUGGACUAGAUGGUCUCUGGAGCCCUUUAGAAUUCUGAAAUGUUGGGGGCAGCUGGGUAGCUCAGUGGAUUGAGAGUCAGGCCUAGAGAUGGGAGGUCCUAGGUUCAAAUUUGGCCUCAGACAUUUCCUAGCUGUGUGACCCUGGGCAAGUCACUUGACCCCCAAUGCCUAGCCCUUACCACUCUUCUGCCUUGGAACCAAUACACAGUAUUAAUUCCAAGAUGGAAAGUAAGGGUUUAAAAAAAAAAGAAUUCUGAAAUGUUACAAUUUUUUGAUUCUGAGGGCUUGCUGACCAUUUUUGGACAGUCUUGCUUUUUAAUGAAGUCUUUACUUUACUUGGGCAGAUUUUUAUGAGUGAAUAGAGUGCAGGGCCUAGAGUGGGGAAGAUUCAUCUUCUUGAUUUUAAAUCUUGCCUCAGACACAUAUUAGUUGUGUGACCCUGGGCAAGUCAAGUCAUUUAACUGUUAGCCUUAGUUCCUCAUCUGCUAGUGGAGAAGGAAAUGGCAAACCACUGCAGUAUCUGCCACGAAAACCCCAAAUAGGGUCCGGAAGAGUCAGACACCAUUGAGAUGACUGACCAACAAUUACUUUGAAUACUCUAAACAACUCCCAUUCUCAGUGAUCUACCCAUAUUGGUUUAUGUGCUGUUCCUCACAUACAAUGAAUGCUCCCUCUCCUUUUUCGGUAUUUUUGUCCUGGCAGUUGUUCUUCAUGCCUAGAAUGUUCUCCUUACUUACCUCUUCAUAGAAUCCCUUACUUCCUUUAAGAUUCAGCUCAAGCACCCCUUGGGGUCAAGAAGACUUGAGUUCAAAGUCACUUACUAGCUAUGUGAUCCCUGUCAAGUCACUUAACUGCUUUUUGCCUCAGUUUCCUCAACUGUAAAAUGGGAAUAAUAGUGCUUACCUCCCAGGGUUGUUGUGAGAAUCCAACAGGGUAAUAUUUGAAAAGCAUUUACACAAGUAUCUGACAGAUAAUGCUUAAAUGAUUGUUUCCUUCUACUACCUCUGCUUUCCAGUACUCCCCAAUUAGUGUCCCCUUUCUUCCCCAAAUAGUGUCUUCCCUUUCUUCCUAAACUACUUUGUAUUCUUUCUAUGUAUGGGUGUGUAUGGCUAUGCAUGUUAUAUAUAUAUAUAUAUAUAUAUAUAUAUAUAUAUAUAAUUUUUUGGAUAUGUAUGGAUAGGUAAAUAGUUUCUCCAGAUAGAAUGUCUCUCUCUCAAGAAUACCUGAGAGCAUUUUUGUUUCUUUUUUUAAAAUAUUGUAUCCUCAAUCUUACUACUUAAUAUAUAUUAUAAAUAUGCCUGGAAUACAUAUAAUUAGUGCUUAAUAAAUACUUGUUGAGUGAUUUUUUGUUCUUUAAAAUUAAUAUUAACCUAGAUUUGAAUGUGUGCGCAAAUCUUUAGGGUUGGGACAUGGGAUGGAUUUAUGGGUAGGUAUGAAGCUUCUAAUAUUUAAGAUUAGACAUUAAUCUUGGUUGAGUCUCAAAGAGUCCAUUUUUGGCAUUUUUGGAUAAAAUAUUAAAAUGAACUCUUUAGGUCUUACCCUCCAACCCAGGGGAAGGAGAAACAGCAGCCAUAGGAACUGUGUUUUCAGGACAGUAAAUCCAUGUCUGGGAAGGAGUUGGGCAGUGGAUGUGGGUGUUCACAGGAGCUUGUUGUUCCUUAUUAAAGCAUUUUGUGGAAGCUACAGUGUCCCAUCUCAAAGGAAGGUUCCCAAAGAAAGGUCCUUAGAUUGGUUGUCAAGGGAAUCCAUUAUCCUAACCAGGAAGAUACCUUAACUAGCCCAAUCCCCAGGUUCUUCCUAGCUCCUUUAGGUAGGUGAUUUUUUGAGUUUUUUAAUGUUUUUUUUUUUUUAAGUUUGAGGUGAAUCUCAAAGACCCUGCUCCUAUUUUCAUUGAGUGAAUCAAUAUAAAACAUUAUAGACAUAAAUAGAGUAACAUGACCAGGGAUAUUAUAGUAUCAAGAAAGUUUUGGAGUGGAAGUCCUGGCUUCAAAUUCAGAUUGCUACUUAAUAUUAUAAUCUCUUAAAUUGGCUGAAACCUCAGAGGUUUCUUAGGCCAAAUUUCUCAUUUUACAGAUGAGGAAAAUAAGGUCCAGGGAGCAUAGGAGAUUUGCUUAAGCUCAUAUAAAGUAGUAACAGAGUUGGGAUUUGAGUCUAUCUCCUUUUACUCUAAAUCCAAUGCAUUUUUCACUGUACGACAAUUCUUCUAAGGUCCAUAUCAGUGAUAAAUCCUGUGAAUCCUCUGGGAAGCCUUACCCGGUUCUCUCUUCUCCCUCCUCUCCAGACCUACGUCCUUCCCCACAUUGCACUUUGUGCAGCUUAUCACAUAAUAGUGUAUUUUAUAGUUACCUAUGUAUCUUUCACCUUUACUAGGCAAUAAACUGCAAGAGGCUAGGUUCUUUGUUUUUUUAAGCUUCUUAUCUUACCAGGGUUGGUUGAGCAAAAUGCUCACCACACAGUGGGGGCUUUAUAAAAUUUUUUUUUAAGUUGAGACCUUUUGUUUUCAUAUUACAUAUUCCCCAGUACCUCUUUCCUCUUCUAUUUAUAGAACCAUUCCUUGUUUGAUAAAUAUUAGGUGCUCUUGCAUUUAUUGAAUGUGGGAGAUAGGAUCCACAACACUAGCAUUGUCAUGUUCUAACACUGGUUAAGAGAGAGAGAAGGUUAUAUUUGGGAUGAGAGGCAAAAAUUUAUCUGCCAGCUCUAAUGACAGUCUCUAGGAUAACUUUAAAUGUUAAAGGAAAUGUAUAUAGAACUAUCUACUAAGAUAAGGCUAUGGAAAGAAUAGUCAGAUAACAAAACACCAAAAGAAGUUUUGUUUUUUUUUUCCUUGCUAAAACUCAGAUUCUCAAAAUAGGAAAAUGGCAUUUAAAAAACCUGAAUACUUUUUGGUCACUAGUGAUAGGUAAUUUAAGAACUCUGGAUAUGGAAGACACUCAUAAAAUGUGAGAGACUCUCUUGUGCAAGAAAAGAGGAGAAAACUGAGGUCCAGACAGAGGAAAUAGCAGUGUGAUAUAAUUUAAAGAGUGUGAAACUUCUAAUCAGAGGACCUGAAUUCAAAUUCUGAUUGUACUAAUUGUGUGUUUUUGGGAAAGUCACUUGAUCUUUCUGGGUGUCAGUUUCCUCACUUAAAAGGUGAUGUCUAAUUCAACAGAUUUUUCUUAAGCAACCACUAUGUGCAUGGCACUAUACUAAUCACUGGAGACACAGUGACUGACCAAAAAAAAAGGUACCUGCCCUCAAGGAUCAGCUCUUAAAUCUUAAGUCUUGCCGAAGGUCACAUAACAAGUUAGUGGUAAAUCUGGAACUGGAACCCAGGUCUCUUGUUAGGCUAAAAGUAAUAUGAUUUAAAAUUUCUCAUUCACAGAGAAUGGUAGUAGCAUUAAAUGCAGAUAUUUAAAACCAGAAUAGCAAUUACCUUCAAAACCAAAAUUAUUGACACUACUUAUUAACAGGUAAUCAUAGAUAAAAUAACUUUGGAAAAAUAUAUUCUUUGGAUCUGAGUUGGGGUCACUUUUCCAUAGAUGAAUAGACAUGAUCAACAGGACAGAUGGCGUAGGAGCAUGUGAGUGUGUGUGUGUGGGGGGGGGUGGGGGGGAGUGGUGGUGUAUCUGAAUGAACACUUCCCCAAGGCUGGGAUAUCCAUCUCCAUUUUAAGUGGGGUUAUCUGGAAGCCAAAGGAGCUGCUCCUUACCUCUUUCUCAGAUGUAUGCUGGGCCAAUCCCAGGGUGAUUUGGGGACCACAGUAGCUGAAAAUAGAAGUGUACAGAUGGGGAGCCACAGGGCCUGGCUUCCUUAUUGCACCCAGACUAGCUGGACUAGCAAAGACUGAUCUCAUUGCCAGGCAAACAGACCAGGUAUGGUCAUUUCUGGUUGACACUCAGGGGGACCAGUUAGCACCCACAGAAAUGCUGUUAGAACUGAAGAAUUCCCCAGCUCUAGGUUUUCCCAUGUAAAUCUAAAGAAAGUUAUUUGGAGGCUGGGUGGAUUUCCCAGGCUCUGCCUCAAAGCUUCCUCUACUUAUACUCUAGGGGAGGAGUCAGCUAGAGACUUCUUUUUCAGCUAUAAGCAUUGGUACUGGUGGUGUUAUCAGGAAGCUGGGAAGGUUUUUUGGGGGGGUGUAAGGGGUUGGGCUGGGUUUAAAAAAAUUAUUCCAAGUCUGGAUGAAUACAUGAAUAUGUGUGUGUGUGUGUGUGUGUGUGUGUGUGUGUGUGUGUGUGUGUGUGUGUGUGUGCAGGAUACAAAUAAAGUGAUUUUUUUCACAACAAACAUAAUCAGUUUAGUUGGCAAUCGGUGGGCCUCUCAAUUUGGUAUUUCCCAUACACUUGACAAACAGCAAGUUUGUGCAUUUUAAGUGCAUACAAGGCACUGUAUUUGCAAAGUAAGUGAAAAAAACUUUCUUUCCUUGUGUGUUCUUGUAAUUGAAUUUAUGUUUCUUUAGCGACAAAAUAUGAUUCUGCUAUUUAAAACACCCCCACAAAACAGUGUACUGGUGCUAUCCUUCUAGAAAUGAGGUCACAGUAAGAUUUGGCACACCGUCUUUUGGACCAUGUCUCCCUUCCUUCUUCUCCUAGGUAUGUGCUAUCUAUUGGCAAUAUAUAUAGGAGGAUAGGAAUUGGGGUCCCCAGGUUACCUUUGGGAGUCUUCUAGAGCCAGUAGCUCUUUGUUUUUGUGUCAUGAAGGGUUAUGCACUCAAGCUCAUUGUCCUUACUCUUUUCCCACUUAUAUUAGUUCUUUUCAUGUUUUGCCUUCAGUUUGUACUUUCCCCUUUAUUCUUUUAGAUUUAGAUUUAAGAUUUAGGUUUAGAUUAAGAAGGAGACUUAGUGUUAGUGAGCCCAAUUCCCUCAUUUUAAAGAUGCAGAAACUAAGGUUCAUAGAUAUUAAGUUAGUCAGUGACACAGCUGUUAAGUGUCUGAGGUGGGUUUCAAAUCCAAGUCCUAAGCUUUGAAGCCUCAAUACUCUGUCUACUACACCACACUGUUUUUUCAUUUAUACUGUACUAUUUCUUCUCUGCUUAUCCUUUUGAAACCAUAGUUAAAGAUUGGUAUGCCUAGUAGACAAGGAAGGUUAUAUUUUAAGAAGUUGAUGUUAGUAUCCAUUCUUUGUUGUGUCUAUGCUCCUUUGCAGAUGUGCCCAGAGGUGCUUGAACUAGCCAGUUUGCCUGACUAUACUUGUUUGGGAUGCUAGUAUCUAAAAUCACAGGUUUAAGGUAGGAGAGUCAUGAUACCAUGUAGAUAUAGCUUUGUUUUACUGUUUACCUUAAUUCCAGACUUUAGUUUCCUUCCAUAAAAUGAGAGGUUGGACUAGAAUUCAGAUUUAGAAAGAACUUUUGAGAUUAUCCAUCUCCUAAAAACCCUUAUUCUUUUUUUGAUUUGAAGAACUCCAGAGAUUGAAAGUUCACUAUUUUUUGAGGCUGCUUAUUCCAUUUUUGAAUAAUGAAUCAUUAGGAGGGUUUUUCUUUCUUUGAAUUAAAAUCUACUCCAGGCAAUUUCCACCCCCUUGAUCCUAGUUUUGCCUUCUGGAUAAAAAAGAAGAGUUAGUCUGAAUAAAACAAGUAGAAUAAGUUCAUUGUCCACAUAUAAUAUUUGAGGCCAGCAUAGCAUCAUAAUUUAAGCUAGAAAGGACCUUGGAAGUCAUCAAGUCCAACACCUUUAUUUUCCAGUAGUGGUCUUUAGAUGAUUUAGUAUGUAAGUUCCUUGAGGGUAGAGACUCUUGCCUUUUGUAUUUGUAGUCUUAGUGCUUAGCACAGUGCUUGGCAUAUAGGAAGGGCUUUAUGAAUGUUUAUUCAUUCAUUCAUUCAUUCAUGAUUGCUAAGGUCCCUUGUAGUUCUAGUAUCUUAUGAUUCCAUGAUUCUUAUUUCAUGAGAUAAAGCAUUCAUCUUGGUUAUAGGUAACAAAAAGUCUAGAAGAUUUCACAUGAAUGAAUGAAUAGUUCUAUUGAGAUAGGUUUCACUGUACAGUUGAAGGUACUAUAAAUAUAAAGUCAGGUAUCUCCAGGAUGGGAAUCAUUUCCCCUGGGUGGGUUUAGCCCCAUUUGAAAGUCUUCUUUACCUUUCCAUUCAGUAUGGAAUAGUGGAUAAAUAUUUGACCUCAAGGAGACCCAUCUUCAAGUCCUGCUUCUGGUACUCUGACUGUGUGAACUGGGGCAUCCAUGAAAUCACAGAUCUGAUUUCCUUUUCUCCAAAGUACAAAUUUUGUACAUAGAAGGGCCUGCAGUGGCCAGAAAGAAUUAAUGGGGCUUCCCAAGAGUCCCAGGCUUCUUGUGUUGUCAUUGCAUAGACUACUCCAGAACUGUCGUGAAAUAUGUAACCAGAAGCUCUUGUUCUUAAGCAUCUACAGUACUAUAGGGUAGUCUGGCAUGCUCCUUGAAAUCUAUGUAUUCUUGAGGUGAGAUGUGGGUUUGAGGCAGAUCUUUGUAGGUCUUCUGGAGUGCCUACUGCAUCCUGCCUGCUUGUUGUGCUGUUGCCUUCAUGGCCCCCAAUACCGAAUCUCGCAGAGCCCACUCCAUCUAGUUGUCCACAGCCUGGAUUGCUUGUUCUGUGCUUCAUAUCUGAUGUAGUCACCUGCUCUGGCCUUCUUGCCAUUUUCCCUGCUACUUGGUGAAGACUUUUUCUCUCCCCUCUUCCCCUUUCCCUUACAAAUAUACAUUUACAUAAAAGUUCCCUAACCUUUUGCUUUAGGAAUCAUAAUCACAUCCAUACUGCUAUUGCUUCUAAAUGGGUGGGUCACUUACUUACUCCCUGUGACUCACUGGACCAAAACAGCCUUCCCUGGCUACCACUCCCUUAUUAGAAUGUAAGCUCCUUGUGGGCAGGGACUGUCUGGCUUCAUAGAUCUGGAGGUGGAAGGGACCUUAGAGGCUGUCUUAUCCCAAACUCUCAUUUUACAGAUGUGAGAAAUUUAAAUGACUUGCCCAGGGGGUCACACAGGUAGUAAAUGUAAGAGACAAGAUUUGAACCCAGGUCCUUGGAUUCCAAAACCAGUGUUUUUUCACUGCCCUAGGCCAUAUUGAAUGCAGAAACCAGCAAAAAAUGGUCACUGGGUGCUGUCUGGUUUACCUUUUCUGAUUUAUACAGCAAGGAGAUGGGAAUGGGCAUGUGGACUAGUGAGCAGUUUUUCAUUCGUUCUCCUUUCAGCUGCUCUGUAGCAAAGGGCUGAGUUUUCUCAGGUUUUGGUAGCAAAACAAUGAACUGGUAUUGUUUGAAGACACUGGCAAAGUCUACAGGAACAGAGUUAAAUUAAGAUGCUCUGAUGAAGUUAUUCAAGUGCAUCAGUUUGGGGGACUCCUAGCACUUGUAGAAUAGAAUAUUGCAUUAAGCAUGGGGUUCAGUGAGGAGGAAGAGGAGGAGAAGAAGAGGUGAUGGGGAGAAAUGAAGUUUCUAACCUCAGAGAGCUGUCUAGUUGAUCAUCAUAGAUCAAAUCUAUUACAUCAGUGAGCCCUGAGUAGUCAGAGACACUUUACUGGCCUUAAAAGAAAGGGCACAAUUUGGAAAGACAAAGAUGAGAAAAGAGAGGGCCUUCUGGAUGUGAACAAAAUAAGGAGAGGCUUGUCAGGUUGUUCCUAAACAAGUUUUUAGCUGAGACUGCUGACAGGCAGUCACUUUUGAGACCUGUCUCUCAGCUCGAAUGUUUCAAUAACUCCAUAACCGUAUGAAGCUUUUCUCCCUGUGGGCCCAAGAUGCUGUAAUCAUAGGCCAGCCAUUUCUGUUUUAAGGACUUAUACAUCUAUGUCAUCCCAUUUCCUGGUUCAGGAGGCUGAGCUCUGGAAAGGCACUAAUGGGGGAAAGCUCCUCCCACUCAGAGCUCUUUAAAUGGACCUUCUGCUGGAGAGCAUUGAUGACUCAGUGCUGGAGAAGACUUAAGGUGGUUGGAAAAGGGAAGGCACAUUAUAAUGGGGGGGGGGGGAGAAAUCAAAGAAAGAAACUUUUGAUUUUUAAAAUUGAUUUUCUGGAGACUGGGCCUUCCAAACUUGUAUAUGCUAGAAGUGCAGUGGCCUCUCCUAGGCUUCCACUUAUGGAAGCUUCAAUUUACUCCAUUUCUGACCUGAGCCAAUUUGUACCUCCUUCGGCAGGUGGCCUUCUGCUCCUAGGAGCUUGCCAGGUUGGAGCAGGACUUAAUUUGGACAUUUAUUUGACUUUAUUUAAUCUAAUUGCAGCUCAGAACUCCUGAACUCAAGCCAUCAACCAGCCUGAGCCUCCCAGUAGCAGGGACUACAGACCUAUUCUGUCGUACUUGGCAAGGAGAAACUUUUCAGAGUGUAGGACAUGAUUAUGAAUUGUGUUCAGAAACCCCGUUCAAGGUCUGAAAAGCUGUGGCAUGAUAUAAUAGAAUGUCUAUUUUGAGAAAACAUUUCCAUCACUGUUAAUCCAUAAAAAUCCUUCCACCUGAGUACUUAGUUCUAAUAGUGUAAUUUCUAGGGAUUUUUAAAAAAGUUAUUAUCAAACUUUUAUAAAACAAAAAUUUUUGUGGUGGUUAGAAUAUAUUUUGUGUGAAACUCAGCAGUGGAUGAUUGCAUUGGGUUUUGGUUAAGUUAUUAUAUGAAAUAAAUGUGAAUUUAUUGUUUUUGUAAUGGACGCUUAACUAUAUAGACAGACUGGUCUAGUGGAAAGGGGACUGAGAGUCAAAGGACCUGGUUUUAAUCUUGGCUGUAUUGGGAAAGUCACUUUUUUCCCCCCUGUAAAAUGGAAAUAAUUACUUUUCCUCCUGCCCUACUAAUUCUUCUUCCUCUUACCACAUUGAUUAUAUUUACAUUUUUAUAGUCAGGUAUGUUGUUCUUUUGCUUUUCUUUCUUCAUAUAAGUUCAGACAAAUCUUACUAUUUUUCUCUGAAUUAUUUGUAUUCAUCAUCCUUAUAGUAUAGCAAUUCUUCAUUAUAGUAAUUAACAUAAUCUGUUCAGCUUUUCUCCAAUCAUGGCAAAUAUUUUAUUUCCAUCUUUUGUUAUCAUACAUUAAUUUUUUAUGAACACAUUUAUAAAUACAUAGGUUAAAAAAAACUUGUCAUUAACCUCCUAAGGGUAUAAGUGGUGUAAUUAGUUCAAGGCAUAAAGAACAAGUUAGUAAUUUUUCAUGUGUAAAGUAAUCAAAUUUUUACUAUAUAGUCUUAAGGUUACUCGAGUAAAGUGCUUUGUUAAACCUUAAAGUGAUAUAGGAGCUAUUAUCAUUAGCAAAGAGGAAAUCUGUUUUAUGAUCAAGAAUAACAAGUCAAUUCCAUCCUUUCAUUCAGAAACUGGGAAUGGGAGAGUGUCUCUUAUUCUUUCUUCUUUUCCUUGAAGAGAAAGUUCCCCCUGUCUACCAUAGGCAUUGUGUUUGGUUUGACCACACAAGUCAGUUAGUAAUGAUAAUAAUAAUUAUUAUAAUAGCUAAUAUUUAUAUAGCACUUCCUAUGUGCCAGGUACUUCGCUAAGUGCUUUACAGUUAUUGUCUCAUUUAAUCCUCAUAACAACUCUGGGAGUUUACAGAUAAGGAAAUCGAGGCAGACAGAAAUUUAGGGACUUGUUUAGGGUCAUAUAAUCUGAGGCUGACCCUGAGCUCAUAUUUUUCUGACUUCAGGGAACUCCGUCUACUUUGCCACCUAGCUGCCCCAAGUGUGUCCAAUUCAGACUCCAUUUGCUACAUAAAGAGAAGUGUUCAGAUUUGAGUAGUAUAAGGGAGAGUUGGUGAUAUACAACAUUUCAUAGGAGAUGCACAGCAUUUCACUGGCUUCUCUUCAGGCCUUACUGAAUCUUUUCCAAGGCACUCCUGACUUCUACUGCAUAGUAUGCCUUUUCAUUCCUGUGUAGGUAAGGUUUUAUGGUACUCUUGAAGCAUACUACCUAUUUAUACACUGUAUACUUGAAAUCACAUUGAUAAAGGGUAAACUUGAAGAAAAGACUGGAAGGUAUGGAGGAAGAAGCUGAUGAAGGCACCUACACAUGACUGGAAUAUCUGCAAUGCUUGCCCCUAGCAGGUUUUUUCCUAGUGCCAGGGCAGGUUGGAAAUCCAGUGCUUGAGAGAGUGAGACAUUGGUGUGAACUCAGCUUGAUUUGGCCUUGGCUUUCAAGAAUAGUACUUGGGAAAUAAGAUUUUGAUCUUGGAAAAUAUGAUUUAAAAACAGAAUUGAAAGUCAUUUUUAUUUUCUAAAUGAUAUUGCCCCUGACACAUUCACUGAAACUGGACUAGAGCUGCUGACAUAAGAAUACCAAUGUGGGGAAAGUACAUUACAUUCAGAGCUCCUCUCUGGAACAGGGUUUUUAUAGAGCCAUUUUUUAUCUUCUUUUCCAUUUACCAUUUAGUAGAGUCAGCUUCUGGGUUGUGAUUAUUGGAGGACUGAGGAGGAAGCAAGAUCCUGCUAGGGUUUGUAGUCUUUUCUUCUGUGAGGAUUGGACUUCACUAAGACUGGCUUUCUUGACACUAUCAAACUGACCUCUUUUAGCCUGUAGUCAGUUGGACCAUAGUGGCUGCCUCCCUGAGCUGUGUGGAUUUCACCUUAUACCUGGUGAAUUAAGUUCAGUGACCAUGUUGGCUUGCCUGAACUCUUAACUAGCCUGCUUUGUUACAUUCUGGGGUCCCUCUGGCCCGGCAGGGAGCCCUCCACAUUCAUCAGGGAGUAGCUAAGGUCACUGACACAGAAUGGACUUCACUUGGCCCCUCCAGGACUUGGGAGAUUCCAGAGCCUCUACGUAUAUUAACUACUCUUGGGGUGUGGAUUGCGACUGGGUUUGCCCAGUGCCCCAGGUCUAGCCUAGAAGAGCAGCUAGAUGAAUCUUUUUGAGGAGGAUCCUGUUGUCGACAAGACUGACUUCAGGCUGGUUUCCUUUGAGCAUUCAAGUCAAUCCAAAAAGCAAGCAUUUAUUGAGUAUUUCUUAGUUCAAGGCACCCAACCAUGCUAAGAACUUUGGCUACUAAAAAGAAUCUCUGCCCUCAAAGAACUUAUGUUUUAUGUUCAUAAUGAAGUCAAAACAAAAUAUAUAGAAAGUGAAUAUAAAGUAAUUUUUAUUUCUCCCUCUAGGGGAGAGGGUGUUCAGAAAAAGUCUUAUGUAAGGGGUUCUACUUAAGUUUGUUUUCCAAAAGGUAGAAGAACGAAGGAAGAAAAACAUUUUAGACCCAAGGGAUGGGCCUGUGCAAAGCAGAGAAGGUGAGCAGUGGAAUGUUGUGUAUGGAGAGCAAUAACUAAGCUAGUUUUGCUGGGAUGUAGUGUGUGUGUGAAGAAAAAGAAUACAUUUGGAAAGAUAAGUUGGAGCCAGAUUGAAGGCUUAAAAUGCCAAAGAGAAGACUUUACCUUUUAUUUUAGAGGCCGUAGGGAACCACUGAAUCUUUUUUGAGCAGAUGGAUGAUGUGGUCAGAUCAGUGCUAUCAGAUAUCCCUUUGGCAGCUGAGAGGAAAAUGGAUUAUAGAAGGGACAGAUUGGAGGCAGGGAGGCUAUUGUAAUAAUUAAGGUGGGAGGCUUUUCUGUUUAUUCUACACAGUGGUUCUUGAUGGAUGCUAAUUCAUUUCCUGCACUCAGAGUCAAGCAGGAGAACUUAACAUCUAUGAGGAAGCCAAUUCCAGAGCUACACACCCUGGGCUGAAUCAGACAGGACUGAAACUUUUGAUUACUCUGACUUGUAUCAGUCUGUCUUGGUGUAUGAGCAAUUAAAACUGGUAUUUCUGCUCCCUGCUGCGUUGAAGGAAGGACGCAUGUAGGUGAAUUGUGGUAGUUUGGAUGGAUUGUAUAUUUUUGGUCUUAUCCAGUUUUUCCUGGACAUACUAUUGAGAAGGAACUAGAAAGGUUUGCAUUGAAGAAGAGAAGGCUUAGAGAAGGCAGGAUUGUAGUAUUUACACUGGAGAGCUAUUUUGUAUAAGAGCGAUCACAUUUGUUUUGCUUGGCUGGUUGGUAGAGUUGAAUGGAAUUGAAUUGAUCCCAGAGAACAGAACCAAGAAAAAUGGUGAGACUUUAUGAGCAAGUAGCCCAAGUGGGAUAGUAUAUACCAAGUGCUUUGCAAACCUUUAAGUGCUCUAUCAAUGUUAGUUAUAAAAAUUAUAAUACUAUUAUUAUAAUUACUUAGGCUGGCUGUAGGAAAAAACCCAAAACUUCCUAACAGUGAACUUUAUGAAAAUGCAAUAGGCCGCUUUGGGAGAGAGCGAGUUCUAUUUCCUUCAAGGGUAUUCAUUCAGGCCAAGGCUAGAUGACCAUUUGUCUGGAAUGCUAGAAUCAUAAAUUUAGAACUGAAAGGAACCUCAGGGUCCUUAUUUUACAUAUGGGGAAACUGAACUGUAUAGAGGUUAAAUGAUUUUCCUAGGGUCACUCAGCUAGUGAGUAUGAGUAAGGGUUUGAAUUGGAUGGUUUCUUAACUAUUUUUCAAUUCUGAUUCCUUGUGACUUGGUUGGCACAAAAAAAGUGCAAUUUUCUCCUUUGUUGUUUGGCCCUUUUAUUUCACAAUUAAUACCAUAUUUAGUAUUUAUAGUUUGGAAUUUAGAAAUGACAAUACCCUUAGGAUAUCCUGGAAGAGAUCUUAAGAACUUUGAAUGUUAGAGCCGGAAAGGACCUUAGAACAUAGACUGUCAGAAUACAGAACAUUUGAGCUGAAAAGGACAUUAGAGCAUAGAACGUAAAUUGUUAUUGUUGGAAAGACCUGUUGGAUAUCAAAUGUCUGCAGGAGUCUUUAGGACAUUGAUUAUUGAAGUUGAAGGGUCCUUGGAAUAUAAAACAAUAGCAAAACCUGACAGAAUGCUUGGAGGUUUGUACCAUGCCUUUCUCACAACAACCCUAUGAAUUCAGGUUUUAUUAGGCAUCUGGGGGUUCAGUGGAUAGAGUUGGAAGGAUAGGGUCUGGUGUCAAGAAGACCUGAGUUCAAAUCUUGUCUCAGACCCUAGCUAUAUGACUGCUCUGAUCUAGUCACUUAACCUCUGCCUCAGUUUUCUAACUAUAAAAUGGGGAUAAUAAUAGCACUUAUUUCCUAGGGUUGUUGUGAAGAUUAAAUGAGAUAACAUUUAUAAGUUCUUUGGCACACAUUUCCUAAAAACAGAAAAUGCUUAGUAAAUAUCUAUUCUUUUUCUUUUAUUCCCAUUUUACACAAAUGAGGAAACUGAGGCUCAGAGAAAUUAAUUGAUCUUGUGAUCACAAACUAAUAAAUAUCUGAAGUAGGAUCUGAAUUCAGAUCUGCAGAGUCUUACACUUUUACUUACACCAUAUCUACAUCUGCAAGUCUUACACUCUCUCUACUGUGCUUGUGAUACAUGUAAUGACAUGUCAAAAUGUAGAUUGUUAUAGUUGGUAAGGACUUUAAGACAGUACAGGGAAUAUCAGAACUAGGAGGGCCUUAGAGCCUGCCAUGUGCCAGUUACUGGGCUAUGCACUGUGGAUACAGAGGCAAAAAAGAAACCUCUUCUGCCUACCCAGGCAGUGGGGGGACUUGAGCUCUGGGCCCUCAGACACACUAGCUAGGUAACCUUGGGCAAGUCACUUAAUUUUUGUUUUGGUUUCCUCAUUCUGUAAAAUAGGAAUCCUAAUAGCCUCUCUCUCCCAGGGUUAUUGUGAGGAUCAAAUGACAUCAUAAUUGUAAAGUGCUUCAAACAUAGUUUCGCUAUAUAAAUCUUAGCUGCUUUUAAAAAGUAACUCCCAUUCUAUGAGAUCAUCUAAAACAGUAGUGUCACUCACAAAGAAAGGGAGGCCAGAGCCAUACAUCAGGAUCCCUGAAGGUCUUAGUGCAGCUGGUAUAUUUGACACUACUGAUCUAGAACCUCUCCUUCAACUCACUUAGUCUAGAGAUGUGUCAGUGGUGUUACCGGGGCUAACAAAGGUAUUCUUAGUCCUAUUUUAAUACUCUUUUCCUGACAGUCAUGUGGUCUCUCUGUGGGGGUGAAGGGAACUGAAGAUAUUUACUUUACAAAGUGCUUAUAACUUGCUUUUCACAUAGGGUCUUUUAUGUUUUAAUUAAUUUACUUUCUGGAUUAAAUUCAUUUCUCUGUUCUCCAAACUCUGGGAGUCUGAUUUUCCCUGGUCUCUUUUCCCAUCCAACAGAAGGAGGGAUGACCAGUUGAUCAACUAGUUCCAGAUAAAGAUGGAACUGCAGACAGAAUCUUUCUGAUUGGAUCUUGACUCAAGAGGAAUGGAGUUUGUAGGCCAAGGAUAAUGGUGUUCAAUUUGGUGGAAUAUUUAAAUUCUAAUAAAAGCUUUGUUUCUACUGGUGAUUCCAGACUCUUCUGUGGCAUUGAUUGGCUGGCUGGGCCACAGUGAUGAAGAGGCAACCCUUCCUCUGCACAUUGGAAUUGUGUUCUGUUUCCUUGACUAUGUCAAAAUAUUUUUUUACCCUUGUCUGAAGUUUCAAGGUUGACACCACUUGUCCAUAAAAUAUUUAUUUUAAAAUUUAAAACCAUUCUUCACUUUUUUAUAGAACAAAACACAGCUGAAAAAUCAAGUAAAUUCACAGCAUGAAAAGGAUGGCAUUGAGCAGCCUGAUCAGCAAACAACAUAGGAUGUGUACUUUACAUACAAUUGCUCAGAAAUAAAAAUCCAAAGUGUUUAUACUAGGAAUUAUGAGGACCUUGGGGAUCUGAAUUCUGUAAGUCCAGAGGAGAGACCCCCCCAUAGAAAAGGAGAGAACAGAUAUUAGAUAUUCAAAUCAAGAUUUGUUUAUAUUUGUACAUUUCAGAAAGAUCAUAAGAAGUAAGCACCUGAAGAUGCUUUUCCAAAAAAAAGUUUUUGAUGCUUUUUAAAAACAUUAUAAUCAUUUUGAUUCUUAACCUGGGAUCUACAAACAGCCCAGGGAUCUAGUUUUCCAUUAAAGAAGGCCAUUAAUUUGGAUUGAGGAGAAAAAUGACCACUUAAUUUUCACUAACUUCUUUUUAUUUAUUUAAAUAAAAGGUUUAAACCCUAACCUUCCAUCUUAGUUGUCACUACUAUGUAUUGGUUCUAAAGCAGAAUGGUAAGGGUGAGGCAAUGGAGGUUAAGUGACUUGACCAGGGUCACAUAGCUAGGAAGUGUCUGAGGCCACAUUUGAACCUAGGAACUCCCAUCUCUAGGCUUGACUUCCACUGAGCCAGUCAGCUGCCCCCUAUUUUUACUAACUUCUAACUGAAAUUUAGUAUUUCUUCAGUUAUAAAUUUUUAAAAAAAUAUUCUGAGAAGGGAUUCAUAGGCUUCUCAGACUACUAAAGGGGUUAUGAAAAAAAUUGUUAAUCAAAGUCAAAGGACACAUCCACCUUGUUUACUAGCUUAUGUGAAAGUUUUCUCACAUAUAGCUCUUUACCACUACUUUCCUUCAGUGCCAAGAUUGGUCAUUUUAAUUAUGAUUCUCUAGGUUUUGCCUUGCUAGUCACUUUUUAAUAGUCUGUGCAUAUAGUUGAAUGUUGCUAUCUAAAUGAAGUCCCUAUUAGUCAAUUCAAUUUGACAAACAUCAAGUACCUACUAUGUGCAAAUUGCUUUAUGAAAUAGAAGAAGUAAGAAAUUCAUGCAUAUUGUAGAUUUGAACAUAGUUACUUUAUCUUGGUCUCUGAUGACUGCAAAGAGGCAGUUUGUUAAAGAAAGGGAAAAAAAAUAGCCUCCAUGCUAGAAACAUAAACAGGUUGAUGAUUUCCCCCCUCUAGCUAACAUUUGCUAUGUAUAAUAUAUAAUGUGUGCAUGUAUAGUUAGUUUCAUGCAAAUUAUUUUCAACAACCAACCUGUUUUUUUCUGUUAACAUUUUGUAUGAUAUGAACUGCCUGUCAUUUGAAUGAAUUAAAACCACCCCCAAACUGAAUAAUUUAAAAUGGAGUAUUUAAAAAACCCCCAACAACUUGACCAUUCAUUGACUGCUUUAUUUGGCCCUUAGAGAUCAUCUAGUCCUACUCCCUCAUUGCUGUAUGAGGAUUCUAAGGCCUCAAAAGGUUAAGUGCCUUGCCCAAGGUCCCACAGGUUAAAUAAAUAGCAGAGCUAGGAUAUGUACCCAAGCCCUUUGACUCUAGGUCCUGUACUUUCUACUACACAGUGCUACUUUUCUUAGUUGUAUUCUUUGAACAUUUUGCCCUAAAUAGUAUUCCUUUAUAGAUUAUUAUUAUCCAAUAAAUUGAACAAACUGUAUAUUUCUAGUGAAGUUAAAAACCCAAUGGAUUAUUUCUGAAUUGUUUUUGGAAUAGACAGUCCUAAUUAUGUUUAUUUUCUCUGAUCUGGUAAUGUAUAUAUUUUAAAAGUUUUUUUUUUAAGUUUUAAAACCUGAUUUUUGUUUUUAAAGAACAGGGGGGGAUUGUGUAGGAUGUUAGGCAAAAGAAAACAUGAAAUUUCCUAGCUAAAAAGGUUUCUGGAUUAUGGAAGUGUGAUGUGUAAAAUAACAAACAGAAAAAAAUCCCAUACUACUAAGAGAGUUAAGAGGCAUAGGAUUGAAAGUGUUAAUCAAGCCGGGUUUCCUACUUUACAUUAGAGAGAAUGUAAAUUCCUUGAGAGCAGAGACUCACCAUUUUUUUUUCUUCUGGUGUAUACCUAUCUAGACCAGGCCUUAGCGGUUUGUAGAUGUUAUGUUAAUUGGAUUGAGUUUCAGGUAUAGAUUUUUGGAGUUAUGUGACUGUGAGUGUAAGAGCCAACCUUUGAGUGUGACUAGAUGCUCUGUUAGGUCCUUUCCAGCUUUUAAUAUCCUAGAUACCUGGAAAAUAGGACUCUAACAUGUCUUUACACCUUUCCUCUGAAACUUAGAGCAAUUCUUAGCAACAUUGAUAUCUAUUACAAACUGUCUGUGACUUAGGAGAGCAUCUUUCAGAGUUUCUUUGACCAACAACAUUUAUCACCCUGUGGCCUACCUUGGUGAUGAGCUUCUUUGAAUUUAGGUUAAUCAGUCAGUCAUUAAACAUUUCUUAAGUACUGAGUAGGUGCCAGACACUGUGCUAAUCCCUGGGGAUACACAGAAAGGCUAAAGACAGUUAGUCCCUAUUCUCUAGGCACUCACAGUCUAAUGGAUAGUAGGUAGGCUGGUUCUUGAAUGGCAGACACAGUCUGUUUUGCACUUGUCAGAGCUUGUACUUCUUUGCUGGUGUAGUUUUUGAGAACCCAGGGUCACACACCAACAAGAGGCACCCAGGGGAGAACUUUUAAGUGUUGACUUGAUGGCCAGGACCAAAGGACCAGGAGAAUAGCUUGAGGCAACCGUACAUUUUAUUUAAAAAACAAACAAACAAAAAAAUCCCUCCUAAACUUUAGCAAAACAAUAGCAAUAAUAACCUAUUUUUACUCUUUUCCUUCCUGAUCUCUUUUUCAUCAGUACUUAUAAAGUUUUGGCCAUGAUUAUUUCUUAUACAGCUGAAUUCGUUGUCAGCCACCCCUAAGAGGCUAAGGAUAGGGCAGCUGGGGCUCUGUUCCUUACGCCCUGAGGUGUUUCUACCUGCCCCUGACUUGUCUGGCUCAUGUUUUGUCCUUGGUGCUUGUCUCAAAUGCCAAGAUUAUUUAUGUCAGCUCUGGCCCAUGUGGAUAUUGUUCUUUGCUCUUGUAGCACUUCAUAUCAGCCUACCUCAAUUUUAUGUGUACGUUUCUUGAAUGUCAUUUUUACAGUGUACUUAAUACUAAUACUUAAUACUCAUCUCAGUGCUACAGAAAUGUGAAUUGUUGAUAAUGACUUCUAUUAUUAUUUUCAUUAAGAUUUUUAGUCAUCAACCUAAAUUGGGUAUAAAGUAGAUUAGGUAUAAAGUAUAAAUGGUAGACUUAGUCAAAUCAUUCCAACUGUUGAACAUUUAGAUUGUUUCCAAGUUUUUGCUCUUACAAAUAGAGCAGCUGUGAAUGUACAAAGUGGCAUUUUUUCCUUUUAAUAAUAUUCUUAGGAUAAAGUCCUUGCAGAGAAAGCAGUACGUCAAAGGGUAUGGUCAGUUUUAUUUUAACUUCCAUUGUAUAUUCUCAGAUUAUUCUCCUGAAACUUGCACCAGUAGUUAUUUAUGUUCUUAUGUGUCCCCAGUGGUCCUGUUUGUACAGAAUUCUUGCCUUUGGACCUAGAAGUACAGGAAUGCAAAAGUUUUCUUUUGCCAACUAAAGCUGAAAAUAUGGAAUGGAUAAACUUUGUAGGUUUCACUUGCUUUAAAGAUGGCCUCAUUUUUUUCUUAGUGAUAAUGUAAAUGAACAGGAUUCAGGGAUCAGGGGGUCUAUACAGAUUGCACCCUUUGAACCAAUAGAAUCUGAGCUCAGAAGGGGAAUUGACUUCUUGGAUGUUUGGAAAAGUUUCUGUACUGAGAGUUUUUUCUGUAUUAAAGGAUUUCGGGUGCCAAUGUGAUAGAAUAGAAGAAGUCCUAGAUUUGGAGUGAGAAGAUCCAGGUUCAGUUACUUAGUACUUGUGUGACUGUAAGGCAAUUAUUUAAGCUCUCUAGGCCUCAGUGUCCUAAGGGCCUAUGAAAUUAAAGCAUUGGAUUGGAUGGACUCUGAGUUCCCUUUCAGACCAUAUACAUGAUCUAGUGAUUAGCCAUUAAAAAGAUUUGAGAAUGACUGCUGGAGGGGAGGAGAAGGCAGCAGGUCAAAGGAAAAAGGUCAGAGUGGUACAGUAGAGUGGUAGAGUACAUAGAGUGCUGGACUUGGUGUCAAGAAGUCCUGAAUUCAAAUGUAGUCUAGCUCUGUGACCCUGAUCAAACCACUUAACCUGUCAGCCUUAGUUUCUUCAUCUGUAAAAUGGGGAGGAUAAUAGCACUUACUAGGGUUGUUUUGAGAAUAAAAUGAAAUAGCAUUUGUAAAUAACUUUGCAAAUCAUUAUCCUCCUCAUCAUCCUGUGACAUUCAAAGGUAUGGACUGAAGAAGCCUGAAGCCUGGGAAAUCUUCUUGAGUGCCAUGUUACCAGCAGCCACAUUUCCUGGGACAUUCAUAGAUGUCACCAUAAAGUUAAGAAUUGAAAAUCAGUCAUUCAACAGCUUUAUUAAGUACCUGCUCUGUGCCAGGCCCUAUGUUCAGUACUGGGAAUACAAAGCCAAAACUGAAACUAUCUCUGACUUUGAAAAGCUUGAUUGGAGAAGAACACAUAUGCAUAUACACUUAUACAAAAAUGAAAGGAAAGACGCAGGCAACUGCUCAUUUCCUUAUUUCCUGGGUUUCCCCUUUCUCUGACCUUUUUCCUUUGACCUGCUGCCUUCUCCUCCCCUCCAGCAGUCAUUCUCAAAUCUUUUUAAUUUUUUGAUUCUUUACUCCUAUUGCCCAGGGCUCUUGCCACUUUCUGUGUAUUUUAUAAGCACAGAAAUCAAUCCCACUCUACAUAGAUCAUAGAUAAUUAUAAUUCACAUUUGAAUAGUACUAUAAAGCAUUGCAAAAUGCUAUUCUCACAACCACCCUUUGAUUUAGAGUGGAAAAGUCUUGGAGAUUAUCUCAGGUUGCCUCUCUAGAAAAUACAAGGAUUGGGCUAGAUGAACUGUAAGCUCUUUUUGAAUCCUAAACCCUAUGAUUGUAUGAGCAAGUUCAAUACCCCCAUCUUACAAAUGAGGAAAGUGUGGCCUAGAGAAGUGACUUGCUCAUUGUUACACAUGGUAAAUAUGGUAAAUGGAAGAGCCUUGUUGUUGACAUUGUUAACUCAAAACUAUGCAGAACCCUGUCCUAUGUCUAGUUGAUUUUGAUGGUUAGGAAGGAACUAGAGCCCUAUCAAAGCAAGGAAUCAGUCAAGCAUUUACUAAGCUCUUAAAAUAUUACCAGUACUAUGAUAAGCACUAGGGAUUCAAAGAAAAGCAAAAACAGCCCUUAGAAGAGAGUGACCUGUUUCAUUUUUUCUGCUUAAGUUCUCUUGUUCCCUUUACUGGGAAGAAAGGAGUUUGGGAAAUGCUGUUUUUGGAGGUACUUAUGCUCUGACUUAGACCUGGUCCUUGAUCCCUUUUUUCCCCUUUCUCAAUUUCAAAAAGUAACUUUUCUUUGGCUCAGUUUUCCCCCUGUUUCAAAGGGGCCUGGAAAUAGGUGCUCCUGGACAUCCCUUCCUUACCCUUGGGAUGAACCAGGAGAAAAAGCUGAGAUGCUGUGAUUCCUGCAUCUUGAUAUAAAGCCAGUCGUUAAACAUACUUUAGUUUCCCCAAACAGAGCUCUGGCCUCCAUUUGUGUAGGAGAGGGGCCCAGAACAUAAUGCUUUAUCAGGAUACCGAGCAGAUUCCUAGGUGAGGCCUGGAGAGUGUGGCUUUUCUUUCCUCAUCAAAGUGGAGAGCUUUGACCUUUGGCCAGGUGCUGGCAGUUGUUUUUAGGUAACUCAUAUGAUAGUUGUUCUUUUAAAUGACUAUGUUUCCUGAAGAUCUGAAUGACUUCUUCAGUCAUCUGUGUUUUGUAGUUGACCAAAGUGUAUUUUAUCUUUUGCAGAAGUUGUGAGUGGGAGGAAGGAUAAACCACUUCCUCUGUAGCUUUCUGAUUUAUCAGGCACAACUUUGACAGUUUCAGUUUGAAGAGGAAAAUGAAAAAAAAAUUAAAUAAAACCUGUCUCAGCAUUUACUAUUCUCUGCCUUGUUUUCCAUUAACGUGAUUGCAUUCCUGGGCCUGGCUUAACCUCGGCUUUUGGGGCCUCAUGAGGCCUUUCAAAAUUCCUUUAUUGUUGCAGUGCUGAUUUCUUAAUUUCUGCAUGUCCAUUUGCAGAUUAGGGGAAUUGGAGUCCUGAGACUGAGACUUUUAAAUACUUUUAGGUAGCUGGUUUUUUCAUCCUGUUGUUGUGAUGCAGCUAGCCUCAAUGUUGCUGGGGUACUCUUCUGAGAACAUAAAAAUAUUAGCUGGCAUUUAUAGGGAGUUUUCAGGUUUAUGAAAAUCACAACAUAGAUUCUCUCUUUCACUUGUCCCAACAACCCUGUGAGAUCAUUCUGAACCUCAGAGAGAGUCACAUUACUUAUUGAUAGUCACCCAGCUGUCCGAGGCCAAAUCUUCUUGACUUCAAGUCCAGCCUUCUAACCAUUUUGCCACAUGACUCCCAAGUCAGACUUGAUUAGCUAACCAAUAAAUUUUGGGUUCCAUCCUCUGAUCUUAGGGAUUUUUACUUGAGACAAAGAUAAGAAUGUUGCUGGAUAUGUGGGGCCAUAGCAAAACCUCUGCUCCUUUGUAAUCUGCAAAAAUAUUGUCUUACUAUCCUGUAGACCCAGUGCUUGUGCAUGGUUUCUCUUCCAGCUAAAUCUGAGAUUUAAUGUAUUAGUUCAUUGUGUUAGUACAUGAUAAUAUGAUAAUAAAAAUUCUUCUGAUGAAGGUUUUCAAUUAUAGCACAUCCCUCAGCUACAUACAUAGUUCCUUUGCAACCCAUUUCCCACUUAAAUCCCCCUCUCCCUAAAUUUAACCCCUCCUUAGGGAGUUUUUGUUACCAGAAUUCUUAUAUCCUUAUUCCUUGGGUUGCUUACUUGUUGAUGCUGCAACUGCUUUUUGUUGGGGGAAGCUCAAGCCACCCUGAAAUGGGUAGGGAGAAGGCUGCAGCAGUACUAUGGAGCAGGCCUAAGGGAAUAAGUGUGGGUGGUAGUCAUGCUUUUCUGUAAUACUUCCUUUUGAUUUUGAGAAUAGUUGAAUUCAUAGGAAAAUAGACAUAGAACCAGGCCAUGGGUUUAUGGGGGAAAUGAUAUUAUUGAGGAAUUGGGACCACCGGUUUUGUACCUGAGGAUAGGAUAGUACAAGAAAAAAAAUGAUCCAAAUGGCAACAGGAUUUUUAUAUUUAUGUACAUAUUUUAAUUUUUAUAAAUUUUAUUUAGAUAUAUAGACCACAAGGCACAAGACCACAGUUGAACCUGUCACAAGCCCCCAAACAGUUAAAGCAGAACAUCAUAGGGAAUGACUGUAACAUGUAAGUGCAUGUCAGCAUGUUUUGCCUUUUGCUAAAAGGAAGGAUGGUUAUAGUUUAUGAAUUAGCACUACCGUUGCCUGAUAAUUUUGGAUGAAAGUUUUCUUGAUUUGUAUGGUUGUAGUGGCAUAUUAUAUCAUUUUCUGGGUUUUGCUUUGUUCUCAUUUGAAUAUUUCCAAUUUAUCCUGAAAUAUGGAUCAUUCCUAUUGUUUUCAAGUUAUCUCUCCCAUUAGAUGGUGAGCUCCUUUUUCUUUUGUUUCCUCAGUGCUUUGCACAGUGCUUGUCCCAUAAUAGGUGCUUAAUAAAUGCUUCUUCUUUUGACUUCAAACAAGUCUGAGAAAAUUUAGUUCAGAAAUAAAAUGUUGCCAGCUCUAAGUCUUAGGACCCGGUAAGUCCCCAUCUUGUCUUAAGUUUCAGAGUAGAAUCAGUGUGUCUUCUUUUUGGCCUGACUUUUGGCUAACUCUAUAGGUCAGAGAACCUUGGAUGGUGUAGGUGGUUCUAGAACAUGUCUUAGGAAGGUAUGAUACCCAGGUAUCUCAGUGGUUAGAGUGCUGGACAUGGAGCUAAGAACAUUUAAAUUCAAAUCUGGCUUUAGAUAUUUACCAUCAGUGUGAUCCCAGGCAAGUCACUUUACCCUGUUUGCCUCAGUUUCUUCAUCUUGAAAAGGAGCUAGAGAAGGAAAUGGCAAACUACUCCAGUAUCUUUGCCAAGAAAACCUCAAAUGGAAUCACGAAGAGUUGGACAGGACUGAAACAACUGAACAACUAAAAUGUGCUAGGAAUUGUUCUGAGUAUUAUGAUCUAAAGAAAAGCAGAAACUUGGUCUGACUCUUAUCUAAUUUACCGUCUCUUAGAGUAAAAAACAUGCAAAUAGCUAAGUACAUACAAGAUGCAAUAUAAAUGGAAGAUAAUCUCUGAGGUAAGGAGUUUAGAGAGCAUAGAGACUAGAAGCUAGGCUGGAGCCAGGGCCUGGAAAAGAAGGCCUCUUGAAGAAGGUUGAAUUUGAGCAGAGUGGGAGAGGAAGCUAGAGAAGCUAGAAAUUGGAGGUAAGAAAGGAGAAUGUGGUAGGUUAGCAUUGGCUCAAUUGACAAUCACAUAAUCAAAGAAGAGGAGGUUAAUCAAACAUGUGACUUGGAAAGGAAUGUGGUCUAACAAGGUGGUAGCUAGGACUCUGCUGCAAAUAAUGUCCUGCUCAGGAAUUCUCUUGUCCUUUGGACUGAAGAUUUGGCAAUACAAUAAUCAAUAAGUAUCAUGACCACGAGUCUGAUAUAUGAACCCAUAAGAUACAAUAUCAAAAUACCAAUCAUUCUUUCAAGAUGCUAAUAUACCUGGUAUGCUACAAUUUUAGAAACCAAAUUCCAGAAAGUUUAGAAAUGAAUGAGGAGAGGAAUUGGAGGCAGAUAUUUUGAGCAGAGGUGUCAUACAUGCUACCUGAUCAAAUGUUGUCUGAACCCAAAUUAAAAUGGGAAAUAUUUAUCACAAUAUAUAAAAAUAUAAUAGAAAACAGAUAAUGUUGAUAUGUGAUUUACUAAGUCAGUAUGUGGCCAUCAAAGAUCCUUAGGUAAGGUUUUGCAGUCCCAUUUCUAUUUGAGGUUGAUAUCAUUAGUGUAGAGAGCUUUCUCCAAAGGAAUUUAACUGAGAAAAGGAGGAGAGAUAUAGGAUGAUACAGCUUAUAGAGAUAGUUGGAUCAGAUGAGGGUUUUUAUCGAUGGGGGAAACAUGGGCCUGUUUGGAGGAAGCUGGAACCAGUAGAUUGGGAGAGAGUGAAGAUUAGAAACAGUGUGGAUGAUAAAGGAGGCAAUUGCUGGAGAAGAUGGGAGGGGAUAGGAUUCAGUGUAUAUGUAGAAAUGUCAUGGUAGGGAGAAGGGCCAUCUCUUUAUAGAGGGCAGAUGAAGGAUGAUAUAGUGGGGGGAAGAAAUUUGAGGGAUAUGAGAAGAGAAGUUGGAGAUAAGGGAGAGCUCUUGGUGAAUGACCUCAGGUUUUGUUUUUUUUUUUGAGAGGCUGGAGGAGAGAGAUAAAGGUGAGAGCCUCAUUGAGAUAAUGCAGCAUAAAUUUGUAGUGGACCUGGAGUCAGCACAUUAUAAAUAUUUUCUCUAGUUCUCUUCAGCAAUGUGUGAACAGUGAGAGUAAUCCAUGUUUGGAGUUUAGUAAGGCAUGAUCUGAGAGAGGGCAGAGAAGGCAAGAGUUUCCAACAUGGAGGAUAGCGUAGGGUUGAACUUAUUUGCCAAAGGUUGAUUGAUGGUAAGGAAAGGGAGCCAGUGCAGAGGUGAUGGACUAAGAAAGAACUGAAGGGUGGAAGUCAAUUCUUACUUUUAUCCAGAAUUGUUUUUAUUAGGUGGACUGAUAUUCUACAAAAUAUUUUGGGUAGAGAAAGUAAGGCCCUAAUCUCUCUCAGUAAACAAAUUGCAAAGAGUAAUAAAUGAUUUGUGAAUGAUCACAUGUUAGGUAAGCUGGAAAUGACAGUUUGCAAAAUCAUUUUCCUUGCUUACUUUGCAAUGAUUUUAUAUAAUAGGAAGUAGAUGGAACUUUAGAAAUCAUCUAGUUUUAUGGUAACUCCCUUGGUUGGUCAUUUACCAUUUUAUCAGAAAUGCUAGCACUUUGCCCAUGGGCUGAACUACCUGAGAACCUCACUGCUAAGAAUGAUGUAAUUAUACUAAGGUGACUAGGCAUUUGUAAUUUUGUAUUUAAAUGAUUAUUGCACAGGGUUAAGUGACUUGCCCAGGGCCACUUAUAGCUGUGUGACUCCUGUAUUAGUCCCUUAACUCUGCCUCAGUUUCCUCAUCCAUAAAAUGAGGAGGAAAUGGCAAACCAUUCCAUAUCUUUGCCAAGAAAACCAGUCAGACAGGACUGACAAAUGUCUUAUUGCAUACUCCGGAGUAGCAGAUCCCUAAUGAGGUCUGGGGACCAUUGAGGGUCCCUAAGAUCCUUCUGGGUGGUAUUUGAGAUCAAAAUUUUUUUCCAGAGAGCUAGUUAUUAAACAUUGUCAGCACAUCAGUGGAUAUAACUCAAUAAACAAAAGCUUUUUGGUGGGGUCUUCAAUAAUUUUUAGGCAUGUAAAGGGGUCCAAAAACUAAAAAGUUUUGAGAAAUUCUGCUUUAGAGUAAUCCAAAGACCUGACAAAGUUAGGACUAAUUUUUUACCAUCUGCAUAAUUUGGCUUUUAGCAUAGAGACUCAUUCUCAUGACUGGGUGCCCACAUAGAGACUGCUCUAUCAUUCUCAUGGUUGGAUGCUAGAGCCUGCUCCAUCAUUCUUAUGGCUGGGUGUUGGCAUGAAGGCUGCUCUGUCAUUCCCAUGGGAUUGAAGCAGAGUCCUCUCUGUUGUUCUUUUUGCCUAGCAGAGAUUGUUGCCUAAGGCAACAGAUUUAUUUCUUUUCAGGUCUGAACCAUAGCUGAGGGCUCUCUUUGUCCUUUUUCAUUGGCUUUAAAUAUUUGUUCCAUUUUAAAGACAUUCAUUGCCUUGAAAGGCUAUGAAUUUAAAAGUUUACCUAUCUUCCCUCAUAAGACUUUGGCUUCGUUUGAUACCUCACCUACAUGAUGUUCCAUAUACAAUCAAUUGCCAAGGCUUUUUGAUUCUUCUCCAUGACAUUCCUCACUCCUCUUUUUCCAUUCCCAUUCCAAUUAUUCUAACUCAGGCCCUCAUCACCUCUCACCUGGACUACCCUAACAGUGCUUCCUGUUUUCAGUCUCUAUCUCCUCUCCAAUCACUCUUCCUAAGUGGAUUUCCUAAUACCCAAAUCUGAUGGCUUCAGUGUCUUACUCAAAAACCUCCAGAGGCUCACUGUUGUCGAGUAAAAUGCAAGCACCUCAGCCUGGCUUUUAGGGUUUCCCACAUUCUUUCUCCAGCUUAUUUUUUUUUUCAUGGUAUUGCCCUUUAUUCACUCAACAUGCUAGCCAAAGUGUACUAUUCCCUAAUCUUUUCCUGCCUUUUACCUAUGUUCAUUUGUGUGUGUUGUUCACUGGGCCUAGAAUGAUCUCUCCACUAUCCCCAUCUGUCAACAUCCUUCCCCUCCUUCAAAGACCAGUUCAGAUGCUGUCCAUGAAGCUUUCCUUUUUUAUUUCAGCUUGAAGUGUUCUUUCACAUUUUAGGUCUUCUUUGACCUUUUUAUUUGACCUCUUCUGUGAAUUUAAUUUUUUCCAAAUUAUAUUUGAAUUAUUUGUAUAGAUAUUUUCAGCCUUUCAUUGAAUUGUAAGCUUUCUUGAGGGCAACCACUGGGUCACUUUUCUUCUUUGUAUUCUAACUGGUCCUGUUGUACAUUGUGGGCAAUAGGUGCUGAAUAAGCAUAUGCUGACUUGAAUGGAUUUUAAGAGAAAGUAGAGAGCCAGAUUAAGAUGGGAAAAUGGGAGUAGGGUGGGGAAGGAGAAGCUCAGCCAAACCUUGAGCAGGAUAUGACAGAAAUGGCCACUUCUGUUCAUGAGAAAAAAAUAGACGUGUUUGUAAGCAGAGUCAAAUAAGAGGUAACACUGGGUUAAGGAACCACAAAGUAAAAAGUUGGAUGGUGGCCUCAGGUGACACUGAGCCCCCUUCUAUAGUUUUAAAGAGCAAACCUUUGUUAAUGAGCUAAAGCUUUGUAUUUUGUUUUCACCUCAUGUGCAAUACUCCUCUUACAUUGUAUAGCAGUGUGUAUUUGGAGACCCAUAACUAUUGUGAAUGGUGCCAUGAAGAAUGAUCCUUGAGGCUUUUAUUAGGCCCUUUUUCAAGAAACAGCUCAUCCUUGUGUGGGAUUCCUCUGCCCCUACACUCUCAGGGGCCUAUGCUGGAGGUUGCAUACUUGAGCCAGCCAAGCCACUUACAAGGAGCUGUUGCAAGGGCUAUUUUCCAAGCCAAGUCUGUCUCCCAUACCUCUCUCUCAAUACAUUUUAAUUCUCUUUCAGCUCUUUCUCCUCCCUCUUCCUCUCUUUCCUAUUCUUUCUCCCCCUUUCCCCCUACUUUUCCUCUUCCCUUGUUAAUACCUCUACUUUCCUUGCCUAGUCUUUCCACUAGCUUCCUCCUUUCUCUCUUUACUGCCUUAAUUUAACCCACACUAGGCAUAUUGUUAUAGUAGAAAGAACUGAAUUUGGAAUCACAAGAUACUUCAGAGCAUUGAUCAUACCCCCCAAAAAUGUGAUGCUCAGAAUGGAGCACAACAAUGGAUCCUUGAAUCUUGACCUUUAGUGUUUAUUAUCAUAGACCAGUGGCUUCUCCACUUUGGGUCCAUUUCCUCCUAUGUAAAGUAUGAGAGUAUUGGACUAGAUUAGAGGUGCCAAAUAUGGCAAUCCCAAAUGCAGUCAAACCAGGUUAAAAUACUUAACAUAAUCAACAAAUAAUCAACAAAUCAACAAAAAUCAAAUAAAACAUAGAUAAUGUCAGUAAGCCAUUUUUUUAUUUUAUAAUAUUUUAUUUGAUCAUUUCCAAGCAUUAUUCGUUAAAGACAAAGAUCAUUUUCUUUUCCUCCCCCACCCCCCAUAGCUGACGCAUGUUUCCACUGGGUAUCACAUGUGUUCUUGAUUUGAACCCAUUGUCAUGUUGUUAAUAUUUACAUUAGAGUGUUCGUUUAGAGUCUCUCCUCUGUCAUGUCCCCUCAACCGCUGUAGUCAGGCAGUUGCUUUUCCUUGGUGUUUCUACUCCCACAGUUUAUCCUCUGCUUGUGGAUAGUGUUUUUUUCUCCUGGAUCCCUGCAGAUUGUUCAGGGACAUUACACCGCCACUAAUGGAGAAGUCCAUUACGUUCGAUUAUACCACAGUGUAUUAGUCUCUGUGUACAAUGUUCUCCUGGUUCUGCUCCUCUCGCUCUGCAUCACUUCCUGGAGGUUGUUCCAGUCUCCAUGGAAUUCCUCCACUUUAUUAUUCCUUUGAGCACAAUAGUAUUCCAUCACCAACAUAUACCACAGUUUGCUCAGCCAUUCCCCAAUUGAUGGGCAUCCCCUCGUUUUCCAGUUUUGGGCCACCACAAAGAGUGCAGCUAUGAAUAUUUUUGUACAAGUCUUUGUGUCCAUUAUCUCUUUGGGGUACAGACCCAGCAGUGCUAUGGCUGGAUCAAAGGGUAGACAUUCUUUUGUCGCCCUUUGGACAUAGUUCCAAAUUGCCCUCCAGAAUGGUUGGAUCAGUUCACAGCUCCACCAGCAAUGAAUUAAUGUCCCUACUUUGCCACAUCCCCUCCAGCAUUCAUUACUUUCCUUUGCUAUCAUGUUAGCCAAUCUGCUAGGUGUGGAGUGAUACCUCAGAGUUGUUUUGAUUUGCAUCUCUCUGAUUAUAAGAGAUUUAGAACACUUCUUCAUGUGCUUAUUAAUAGUUUUGAUUUCUUUAUCUGAGAAUUGCCUAUCCAUGUCCCUUGCCCAUUGGAGAAUGGCUUGAUUUUUUGUACAAUUGAUUUAGCUCUUUAUAAAUUUGGGUAAUUAAACCUUUGUCAGAGGUUUCUAUGAAGAUUUUUUUCCCAAUUUGUUGUUUCCCUUCUGAUUUUAGUUACAUUGGUUUUGUUUGUACAAAAGCUUUUUAAUUUGAUGUAUUCAAAAUUAUUUAUUUUACUUUUUGUGAUUCUUUCUAUGUCUUGCAUGGUUUUAAAGUCUUUCCCCUCCCAAAGGUCUGACAUGUAUACUAUUCUGUGUUUACCUAAUUUACUUAUGGUUUCCUUCUUUAUGGUUAAGCAUUCACCCAUUUUGAAUUUAUCUUGGUGUAGGGUGUGAGGUGUUGCUCUAUUCCUAAUCUCUCCCACACUGUCUUCCAAUUUUCCCAGCAGUUUUUAUCGAAUAGUGGAUUUUUGUCCCAAAAGCUGGGAUCUUUGGGUUUAUCGUAUACUGUCUUGCUGAGGUCGCUUGCCCCCAGUCUAUUCCACUGAUUCUCCUUUCUGUCUCUUAGCCAGUACCAAAUUGUUUUGAUGACUGCUGCUUUGUAAUAUAGUUUAAGGUCUGGGACUGCAAGGCCCCCAUCAUAGGUGUUUUUUUUUUCAUUAUUUCCCUGGAUAUCUUUGAUCUUUUGUUAUUCCAGAUGAAUUUUGUUAUGUUUUUUUCUAAAUCAGUAAAGAAAUAUUUUGGGAGUUCAAUGGGUAUGGCACUAAAUAGAUAAAUAAGUUUGGGUAGGAUGGUCAUUUUUAUUAUAUUGGCUCGUCCUAUCCAUGAGCAGUUAAUGUUUUUCCAAUUGCUCAAGUCUAGUUUUAGUUGUGUGGAGAGUGUUUUGUAGUUGUGUUCAUAUAGUUCCUGUGUUUGUCUUGGGAGAUAGAUUCCUAGGUAUUUUAUUUUGUCUAAGGUGAUUUUGAAUGGGAUUUCUCUUUCUAGUUCUUGCUGCUGAGCUUUGUUGGAGAUAUAUAGAAAAGCUGAUGAUUUAUGUGGGUUUAUUUUGUAUCCUGCAACUUUGCUAAAGUUGUUGAUUAUUUCAAUUAGCUUUUUGGUUGAAUCUCUAGGAUUCUUUAAGUAGACCAUCAUGUCAUCUGCAAAGAGUGAUAACUUGGUCUCCUCCUUGCCUAUUUUGAUGCCUUCAAUUUCUUUUUCUUCUCUAAUUGCUACUGCUAGUGUUUCUAGUACAAUGUCAAAUAGUAGAGGUGAUAAUGGGCAUCCUUGUUUCACUCCUGAUCUUAUUGGGAAUGCAUCUAGUUUAUCUCCAUUGCAGAUGAUAUUAGCUGAUGGUAGUAAGCCAUUUUCUAAGACAAUAUACAGGAUGUAGGGAUUUUUAUGGAGAGUUUAGUGGUCCCCAUUUCUAUUUGACUUUAGGUGACUGUAAGGUCCCUUCCAUAGAUAAAUCUGUCAUCUUUUUAUAGGCCUACUCUAGACCUUCCGAGCCAUCCACUGGAAUAGAUUUAACUCCCUUUUCCCAAGCAGACUUUUUGGUACCAUCAUGUGGCCACUCCCUUCAUUGUUUCUCAAGUCCUCCACACAUUUCCAUGGUAUGGUAUGGCCUAGCCCAGGGCCGGAAAGAAUGGGGAAGCUUUGCCCCAAGUCCCUUUGGUGUCUGCCUCAUGGAGCAGGUACUCAGCUGUGGCUGCUAGCAGUGCCUGGAUGAGAAGGAAAGAACUGCAGCUGGUUGUAUUUGCUAAAAUUUCCAGUGGGCGGAGUGUGGUCUAGUGGUGUCAGAAGCAGAGCCCACGGCUCUAUUUUAGUUUUCUCGUUGACUCAUUUCGUAAACUCAGAAAAGUCACUUAAAUCUCACCAGCCUUGAGUAAAAUGGUGGCUUGAGCCUCCCUUUUCAACAUAGCAUUCAUUCCUUGGGCAGGGGGUAGGAUGUGCUGCUCCUCAGUCAGUGAAAACAGGAUCUAUUUGUUUAAAGAGAAGAGUGGCUACAGUGGGGACAGACCAUUUCCAAACAAGCUUUUCCUUUGCUUUCUCUGGGCCUUACCUGCCUUCUCUCUUCUUGCUAUUUCAUGGCUCUCCAAACAGCUGGAGCUCCAAGGGGUAGGAGCACCUUUUCCCCCAGACGCUUCCGAAGAAACACUAGGUGGUCUGGAGUUAGAAAACUAACUAGACCAGGAGUCAGAAGACUGGAGUUGGAGGCCCAGUUUUGCCCCUAACUUGCUGGGACAUGUCACUUCAAUUUAGACUUGACUUUCCUCCUCUGUAAGAUUACCAGGGUGACCUUAUAUUUUCAAAGAUCCCUCCUGCCCAAAUGAUAAUAAUAGAUAAUAGAUAGCACUUAUACAGGUUUACUUUACUUUAAGGUUUACAAAACUAUGUAUAGCAUCUCAUUUUAUUCUCAAAAUAAACUGGGGAGAUAGGUGCUGUAGUUGUUGGUAUUAUUGUUCCCAUUGUACAGAUGAAGAAAGUGAGCCAUUCAAAAGUUAAGUGACUUAUUCAGGGUCACACAGCUAGUAAAUACCUUGAGGCUAGAUUUGAACUCAGGCCUUCCUGCCUCUACAUCCAGGGACCUAUCCCUUUUGUCACUCUGUGCCAACUCUAGCAGAGAAGUCUUUUCUCCAAAUUACUAGUUUCUGGCCUGGGUCACCAUUUCUUGAGGGGACUCCAGCCAUGCUAUCAUUUCACUCCUGAUACAGUUAACUCUUUAACUUCCUCUCUUAGGAACCCUUCUUCCCUCUCUCUUCAGAGGCCCCCUUUAUGCCUUUUCCCUCCCCCUAUUAUAAUGGAAUCUUCUUGGGAACAAAGCUAUACACCCCCCACCCCCCACCCCUUUUUGUGUUUGUAUCUCCAUAACAUCGCUAUCUUGGAUAUAUAGUAAGUGCUUAAAUCCUUUAUCUACCUGUCUACCUAUCUUCCAGGUCUAAGCAGAGAUUUGGUGAUUCUCUUCUAUCUCAUUGACAGUCAGUUCCCACCCACACAGAUUACAUCUACAAAUCCACUAGCAAGCAAUCACAUGCUUUCCCAUAUUUUUUCCAAUUUAUUUCAUUAAUAAAUUCUGAGGUCUUCUUAUUCCCUUCCCCCUCUUUCUCUUGUUGGGAGGGGUAAAAUGAAACAGUUUUUUUGGGGGGUGUAUGUGUAAUCCAUGUAAAUCGAUAUUUUUGUCAGAUUUAUCAAAAGCAAUAGGAUUUCAGGUAGAAAUGGUUUCAUGAACCAAGAUAAUAGAUUGAAAACCAGAAAAGAUCAUUUAGAAUAAACCUUUGAUUUUAGAAAUGUAGAAACUGACACCCAAAAAAGUUAAUGCUUUCUUCCCUAAAGUCACACAGGUAACAAAUAAAGCUGGGAUUUGAACUUUGAACCUUUGAUAUCAAAAUUUGUAAUCUUUUCACUCUACUAUUUUGCCUUUUAAAUGAAAACUUGGUUACAUUUUGCCUUUGAAAACCCAAGAAGGAAAUAGCCUUAUACUUAAUAUUUUAGCAGAAUAGAUAGGAGGGACUUGGCAUUAUGUUUCCAAAUGUACCCUGUUUAAUUUGUUUCAUAAACCUUGUAUAGGUAUUAUGUAGCUCUUCUCAUUAGAUUGAUGGACAAAUAAAUAGUUUGUGCAGGAACGAAGUUGGCAACAUCUUCUAACUGUUUGAAAAAAAAAAAUAGGUCACCCUUGGAAAGUUUGGCCCUGAAUGCUCAAGGGAAA